UACAGUGAAGUGUAUACCUCGCACGUGAUGACUAAGUAUUCACACUGUCGUAAAACUGAGCCCCACAUUAUUUGAUGCACUCGACUCAACAUUAUGCUGCUAAACUUGCUGGAGCUAUUUUUAUAACUUCACAUAUACACAGUGGCAACUAUAUUGCGUUCGGAAGGUCCAGGCUUACUCAAAAGGCCAACUUAUACCUUUCCUCACGCGUUGGAAGCGUACGCACAGCAAACAGAAACUCCACAUUUCGUAUCGAAAAAGUUGACUUUGCUAGAUGAUCAUCUGUUGGAGGCCAGAAUGUCCAAACUAACAGUGAUUUUUUUCUCAGAGAACAGCUCUACCAAACAGCAUAUUUUGUCUGAUUAGCCUAUGAAAAAUAUUUAUCAAAAUUAAAAGUAUAAAAACAUUAAAA